GCACAAGCGGUGGAGCAUGUGUUUAAUCGAUGCAACGCGAAGAACCUUACCUGGGCUUGACAUCCCGGGAAUCCCUUGGAAACAAGGGAGUGCCCUUCGGGGAACCUGGAGACAGGUGCUGCAUGGGCUGUCGUCAGCUCGUGUCGUGAGAUGUAGGGUUAAGUCCCGCAACGAGCGCAACCCUUGUCUUUAAUUGCCAUCAUUGAGUUGGGCACUUUAAAGAGACUGCCGGUGUUAAACCGGAGGAAGGUGGGGAUGACGUCAAGUCCUCAUGGCCUUUAUGCCCAGGGCUACACACGUGCUACAAUGGGUGGUACAAAGAGCAGCCAGCUCGCGAGAGUGAGCAAAUCUCAAAAAGCCAUCCUCAGUUCGGAUUGGAGUCUGCAACUCGACUCCAUGAAGUCGGAAUCGCUAGUAAUCGCGGAUCAGCACGCCGCGGUGAAUACGUUCCCGGGCCUU
rnacentral:rRNA from 1 species